GAUGAACGCUGGCGGCGUGCUUAACACAUGCAAGUCGAACGGAAAGGCCCAAGCUUGCUUGGGUACUCGAGUGGCGAACGGGUGUGUAACACGUGGGUGAUCUGCCCUGCACUUCGGGAUAAGCCUGGGAAACUGGGUCUAAUACCGGAUAGGACGAUGGUUUGGAUGCCAUUGUGGAAAGUUUUUUCGGUGUGGGAUGAGCUCGCGGCCUAUCAGCUUGUUGGUGGGGUAAUGGCCUACCAAGGCGUCGACGGGUAGCCGGCCUGAGAGGGUGUACGGCCACAUUGGGACUGAGAUACGGCCCAGACUCCUACGGGAGGCAGCAGUGGGGAAUAUUGCACAAUGGGCGCAAGCCUGAUGCAGCGACGCCGCGUGGGGGAUGACGGCCUUCGGGUUGUAAACUCCUGUCGCUAGGGACGAAGCGUUUUUGUGACGGUACCUGGAGAAGAAGCACCGGCUAACUACGUG
rnacentral:rRNA from 1 species